GACAAGUGCUUGCAGUGCUUUUAAUGUUGCAAGUGUGCAGGAAACCAGUGCUCGUUGUUCCACUAGAGGGAGCUAUUUGAAAGCCCAAGUGUUACCAAUGUUAGCCCAAUGUUUGUCUAAUGCACACGGAGCACCUCUUUAUUUGUUUCUAAUGCACCCUUGGCAUGCAGACACAAAAUAACUUAUUCCUGUGCCCACUAUCUGACCGUAUUCUGCCUCAGUAGAUAAACUGAACUGUUUUAUACAGCCUCGCUGCUAACGUUAGCAGAUGUUUGGACCUCCGUUCAGCUGCGACCAAUCAAAUCUUCUGGAAACAACUCCUCAACUUUGAAGCCAAGCAAGAAUGUCUGAAAUUCUGAACUACAUGAAUGAAAUUGAAGAACUCAUAUUCUGCCAAGGAUUGAAAAGAGGGAGAAAACAAUACCGUCCUACCCCUGACCCCUUAGCUGAAUCCCUGACCUUCCCAUCAGGACAAUUUAGCACGGAAGAAAAAUAGAGGAUUAAGUAUUUGCACCUCUACUUCAAAUUCAA